rnacentral:misc_RNA from 1 species
GGAAGGAUCAUUAACAACUGCUGUGUGUGUAUGGUAUGAAUGUAACACGUGCUUUUUUUGAAGCAACAAAAAAGCGAACCGGGGAGGAAUGAAUGAGAGCAGCAGCAACCAAGCAAACACAACAUAUUAUUAUGCUAAUAAUAGUAGAUAACAACAGACGUAUAGAAGUAGUAGUAGUAGUAGUAUAUAUAUAUACAUAGUAUUAUUAUGAGUUGUUGUUGUUGUUGUUGUGCUAUAAUAAUAUAUUGUUGUGAUUGAUUGGGCUUUCUUUGUUGAUUCUUCUUCUUCUUCUUCUUCUCUCAAAUCGAUUUUCAUAAAACUUAAAUUUGUGACGGCUAAAACGCAGGCAAGCCACCUAUCAAUUAUUAUUAUACCAGGCGGCGGCGGCAGCAGUUGCAACUUUUAAAGUAAGUAUACAACUAACCAAACGACGACGACGACCAAUGAUGAUGUAUGUAUGUAUGUCGUCGUUGUUGUUGUUGUUGAGUACGUAGUACGUACGUGUGUACGUACUACUUAGUAGAUUGGUGAUGGUGGCUGUCUAUUUAUUUUUACUGUUGCUCGCGCUCCCCCUUUUGGUGGUGGUUCUAGUUGAAAAGGAGCUAGCUCGCUCUGAAUAAAAAUAAACAUCUUUGCAAUGGAUGACUAGGCUCUCGCAACGAUGAAGAACGCAUCAAAUUGCGAUAAUUGAUGUGAUUCGCCUCUCUUGAGCAUCGAGACUUUGAAUGCAAAUUGCGCCAUUUUUUGGCAUGCUUCCUUGAGAAUCUCUUUUUCAAAUUCUGCAUUCUUUAAAAAAUGUAGAUUGUAGUAGAGCGUCAAUCUCUCUCUCUCUCUCUCUCUCUCUCUCCUGCUGCUGCUUCUGCGCAAAUUGCAAUGGCGGCGAGGGACGGACGGACGGACGGACGGACGGACGCUUGUUGUAUUGUCGUCGUGGCUGCUGGCGACUGAUGGAUGGAUGGUGGUGGUCUUCUUCUGGUCUGGUAUGGUGACCGGUCGAUAGAGGAGCGAAAUGGGGGUGUAGUAGUAGGUGGGGGUGGGGGCGGUACGUGGUGUUUGCUUUGCCAACAAAGUAAAGCAUCGUCAUUAUUCUCCCUUCCCUCCCUCCUCCCCCCGUCGAUCGAUCGAUCGAUCGAUCGAUCGAUCGAUCGAUCCCCUAGCUAGCUAGCUUUGCUGCAGCAGCAUCGUCAAUCAUCAAUCUCUCUCCAUCAAUCUCCAUUCGCCGCCCCCUCCCCCCCUGCUAGUCUUGCCACCGACCGGCAGCUGCCGCAUUGUGCUACUGCUGCUUAAGUAAAAUAAUUUACCGUUUCGUCGCUGAGCGAAUGUCAUUCGUUCGCCCCGAAACUGCUGUAGAUAGAUAGAUACAUAGCAGUAGUUCUUGUCGUCGUCGUCGACCUCAACCCUCGACCCUCGACUCCUCCUCCAUAAUAAUACAUACAUUCUCUUAUGAUGAUGAUGGAUAGACAAAGACAAAGACAAGACAGUCUUUGCUUUGCGGCGCACACUCGAAAUCUCAAGUGAAGUAAGGCGACCCGCUGAAUUUAAGCAUAUAACUAAGCGGAGGAAAAGAAACUAACCAGGAUUCCCUCAGUAGCAGCGAGCGAACCGGGAAAAGCUCAGAUCGAAAAGGACGACCACUUGUUGUCGUCCGUUGUGGUCUGUGAAGCGCUCUUCGGCGGUCAGACCGAGAAAAGUCCUGUGGAAGUGGGCACCGUUGAGGGUGAAAGUCCCGUACAAUCUGUCUGGCUGCCUUCGGGGGCGCUUUUUGGAGUAGUGCUGCACGAUAUUGUAGCAUGAAUCAGGUGGUAAAUUCCAUCUAAAGCUAAACACUUGCGAGAGACCGAUAGCGAACAAGUACCGUGAGGGAAAGUUGAAAAGAACUUUGGAAAAAGAGUUAAAGAGUGCCUGAAAUUGCAAAGGUAGAAGCCUUUCUGGGCUCAAGGGCUGCGCAUGCACAAUGCGCCUCCCCCAACCAAUCUAAAGAGCCUAGAAAGGACCCGUCUUGAAACACGGACCAAGGAGUCCGACAUGCACGCGAGCACUUUGGUGGCAAACCAAGAUGCGCAGCGAAAGCGAGCUCUUCGCAGCUGUGGCGCGAGCAAUCGUCGCCCUGCGGCCGAAGAGGCGUGCGUCGUUCCGCGCGACGUUGGGCCAGAGCGCGCAUGUCGGGACCCGAAAGAUGGUGAACUAUGCCUGAGCAGGGUGAAGUCAGGGGAAACUCUGAUGGAGGCCCGAAGCGGUACUGACGUGCAAAUCGUUCGCCAAACUUGGGCAUAGGGGCGAAAGACCAAUCGAACCAUCUAGUAGCUGGUUCCCUG